rnacentral:piRNA from 1 species
UAAGCAACAAGUUUGUCCUAAUUUGCUGUA